rnacentral:lncRNA from 1 species
UUUGCAAAGUUUCUUGGUCAUUGAAGGAGCUCAAUGACCUCAGAAGUCAAGCUUCAGAAGUCAAGCACAAGGACGAGUUGUCACUAAUGAACCCCAGCAAGAACAGCGUGGUAAGUACACAGACUGCACAGAGAAGGUAACACCAACCAAGGGGAUGAGGUGGUGAGCAGAGGCCAGCAGGGGACUCAGGACUCACCAGGACUCAGCAAAUAGGAAUGCUUCAUAGGGGGAGGGCUCAAAACAGCAGAGGGUCAAGCUCCAAAUACUGAAGAAUGGCAUGUGCUUCCUCUUGAUGGUGACCACCAAGACAUGACCAGUAGCUAAAAGUUUCAGUGUUCAGCACUUCUAUCAUAUUCUUUUGCAUACAGAAGAAGAGGAUUCUAGCAAAUACAGCCUGUAAGCAGAAUGCAUAAGUCAAGCCCCAUUUUCCCAUAGACAGUAAACAGGGCUUAGAUUCAAGUGGGGUUAGGGUUUGGGGGAAGCAUGGGUCCUAUGACUGCAGCAUGACCACCGACAGCAGCAUCUCUGACAGUGGAAUACCAGAUACCAGUUCAUAGUUUCCAGC